CCUGGCGGCAUGCCUAUAAUGCAAGUCGAGCGGAAUGAUGAGAGCUUGCUCUCUGAUUUUAGCGGCGGACGGGUGAGUAACACGUGGGCAACCUGCCCUACAGAUGGGGAUAACUCCGGGAAACCGGGGCUAAUACCGAAUAAUCAGUUUGUCCGCAUGGACAAACUCUGAAAGACGGUUUCGGCUGUCACUGUAGGAUGGGCCCGCGGCGCAUUAGCUAGUUGGUGGGGUAAUGGCCUACCAAGGCGACGAUGCGUAGCCGACCUGAGAGGGUGAUCGGCCACACUGGGACUGAGACACGGCCCAGACUCCUACGGGAGGCAGCAGUAGGGAAUCUUCCACAAUGGACGAAAGUCUGAUGGAGCAAUGCCGCGUGAGCGAAGAAGGUUUUCGGAUCGCAAAGCUCUGUUGUAAGGGAAGAACACGUACGGGAGUAACUGCCCGUGCCAUGACGGUACCUUAUUAGAAAGCCACGGCUAACUACGUGCCAGCAGCCGCGGUAAU
rnacentral:rRNA from 1 species